AAGACCAUAUUGCAUGAAUAAAUGGGAUGACACUUCACGUCUGCCUACUAUUUGGAAACCUGCUCUCAUAGAUAGACGAAUCUUAACACCAAAUAUAAAACAUAGACCAAACAUUAAUCAAAAAACAAAUCCCAACCAAAUCAUAUUCAAACCAGCCACAAAGAUGAAGCCCUGCCACCUAGUGGAGAAAAACCGACCAUACACCCGAAGCCAAGCCAAUAAACACAUACUGGGACUCCCAACCAAUCAGAAUGAAAAGGUGGAGCCAUCCCAGAAUACCAGCACCAGAUUUGAAAUAGCAACGGCAGUUACUGCAAAAGACUGCUGACAUAAGCCUGAUGAUGGCAGAUGGGAUUCUGUCGAAACGUCGCUUCUACCCUUUUAGGGAUAUAUCCACAAUUACACGGGAAGAAACCCGAAAUAUUAAAUAUACACACAUAUAUGAAUCCAUCAACCCCAACAUCACCGUCAUUGAUGAAUGAAGAAGGAUGUCAAAUGUUCUACCUUGUACGACAAUGUGAUGGUUGAUGGAUUCCAGGGACGGGACAGAAAUCCAUGGGUGGCCGCAGUCAGUGGACAUCCUGGAGGCUGCAAAAAGACAAACACCGGCCAUGGGUGAACUGCCAACCAUCGCAUUGUUGACCAGGGCUGAAGGUCUGACAUCGUCUUUCAUCAAUGAUGGUGAUGUGGGAACACAGAGGCCAAACAAUACGUAGACCCCAAAGAUGACCAAAGUCAUUUUCCAUCCCAAAAUCAAACCCCCAAACAAGGAAAAAAAAAUACCCAAGACAAGAAAUCAAGUCUUGCUCACCUACAGAACGGAUUUACUCUCAGGGAAACUGACAGAUCAGGACAUUUUCAUGGACUUGAGUUACAGCUGAAUUUUUACAUGGCCGCAUUAUUCUAGGUUUUUAUUGUUGUUUUUCCUCUUAAAAGAUCUCAAAUAGAUUUUCAGUUGAAUUGAAUAGCUUAGAUGUUAUAUUAAUAGUGGAAAAAAUUCUGAAGUUAUUUAUCUUGGUCUGAUUUUUUAUUUUUAUUUUUUGCAUCUAUUCUUCUUUCUCCAUCCCUUUUCUCUUUCAGAAAUGGACCCUAAUGAACUGCUGCGGCCAUCCACUGGCAGAUCCCAGAACGUCCUUGGAGACCCUUGGAAAGUGACCUUGUUUGUCUUCUAUGUAUUCGUUGGCCUCUGCAUUUUUUUCCCACCAGUGCAGAUAAGUUGCUCCUGAUCAGGGGACUGGCAUCACCACAACCUGGGGAGCCCUAAGGCACUGAAAGGCUCCCAAAAUGUUGGUGGAACUAACAGAAGGAUAGAAUCCCUCAGGGCUGGAAGGGACCUUGGAGGUCUUCCAAUCCAACCCCCUGCCUAGCUGGGGCUGCCUGAGACCUCUCAGGAUCUCUCUUUUAGCGUGUAACCCUCCAUACUGAAAGGUCCACAGUUGCUGGAGGAGACACCCCUGGCAUCUCCCCAUAGCUGGAUCAAAGAUUAUGACAUCACAGCACAUGUCAUAAAAUCUUGACUGGGCUGUCCUGGGUCAUUUAACAGGGCUAUCAUAACAGCCAUGGCAGGCAAUUUCCUGCAAGGAAUGAAAUGGAAGGUAAAGCGUAAAAAUAGAGGUAGGAGACAAUUAAAAAUAAGAGACUUAUUAUCUACUUAACUUUAGCAGCAAGUGUGAAGAGUUUAGAUGGCAGAAAUAUCAGCUGGCACCAAAUAUUUGAGACUAAAGAACCCAGAUAAAGCUAUUGCUGUAAAAAUGAAAGUAUGUGGAAUAAAAAGAGGGAAUUUGGGGGUGGGUAGGUGGGUUUAAAAGUGCCUGUUUCCAAACUUUUCUUGAAAAGCUCCAGUAAUGGAGCCCCCAUUAAGAAUAAGUACUAGUCAAGCUAUAUUUUAUUCUUUUUUUCUUCUUCAAUCCCCAGAAAAAGGUGUCUGCAAGUGUCACCAGAGCAACCAAGCAAAAAUGUUGAGGCUGCCAUCAUCACCAUGGAACCCUACAUACCCAAAUCCAUCAACCCCAACAUCACCAUCAUUGAUGAGAGAAGAAGGAUGUUGGACGUUUUACCUUGCACAACAAUGUGAGGUUGAUAAGUGUUUGAAUUAAUUUGGGUGUCAGUUUUUUCCCAUUGUGAUGAUAUUAUUGUUAUUUAAUUCUUAGAUGGAUUCCAUUCAAGAGGCAGGAAAACCCAGGUGACUGCUGUCAGUGGACACCUUGGAGGCUGGAAGAAGAUGAAUAGCUGACAUGGGUGAAAGCUGAAAACAACUGGAGCCCCAUUUGGACCCAUCGGCAUUGACAACCCCACCAUCGGUCAAUUGCCAAAGGCAGCUUUCCUUUCGAACAGCUGACAUCCAGUCUGAACAUCUGGCUGACUGUGUGAAGAACCACAAUCCCCCCGUGAACCUUGACGUGGUUAUAGGCUUGUGUGCUCUGAGGAAGAUGAGGGCUACACCUGAGGUUCAAGCAUACUGGACAGGACUCAUGAGAGGAAUUGGAUAACAUACAUUACAGAAACCCAGGUUGGCUCUCUAGUUGCCCAGGUCAGAAAGGACCAUGCUAAGGGUUCAAAUUCCUGGACAUCUGGUGGAAAAUGACCUGCAGGACUCAGGACUGCUGGCUGAGCUGGAAGGAAAGUGUUUUUCCGACUCUCCCCAAGAUGGCAGCUAGACUCAGCAGGGGUUUUAUUCCCUGCUCCUGGUUUCCUCACCAGAACUGGUUCUUUUCUUUUCUUUUUCCUUUUUAUGUACUUUUUAAUGUAGUUUUAUUUAGCUUUGGGGGCUUGUUUGUAAUUUUUUUUCAUUUUUUUGGAGGUUUUGAAAAUAAAAUAAAAUAAAAAAUUGAUUUUAAAAAAAAGAAAUGAUAUGAGAAAAAGUACAAAUGAAAUCUUAAUGAAAGAUUCACAUUGUAGCUACCAUCCAUUUGUUCUUAUAUCAGAUAGAAUAGCUUGUUAAGUCCUAUUGAAAAAUUAUAUAUUUUUCUACUGGAUUUUACUUAUGCACUCUAUUGGGAAAUCAUAGAUAUUGUUCUAAAAACUGGGUGGUAUUUCUAAAACAACAUCAAAGUACCUUUGUCUAAGAGUUGAUAUAAUGUUGCAUCACAAAAUCCUAUUUCAAAGGUGUUAGUCAUCACCUUUAAAGCGCUCCAUGGCUUAGGACCUGGGUACCUACGAGACCAUCUUUUGCCACCAAUAGCCUCCCACCGACCAGUUCGUUCUCACAGGGAGGGACUACUCAGGGUACCAUCAGUCAAAUUAUGCCGACUGGCGACUCCCAGGGGGAGGGCCUUCUCUGUGAGGGCUCCAACCCUUUGGAAUGAACUGCCCCCUGAGAUACGAAAUAUCCCUGAUCUCCGUGCUUUCCGCCGUGCCCUCAAGACCCUGAUGUUCCAACAGACGGGGCUAAACAUAUGAACAUGUGAAUGAUUUUAAAAUGUUAUCUAAUUUUGGGUUCUAUUUAAUUGGGCCAAACUAUGUUAUAAUAAUAAUUCUAAUUAGCAAUUUUAUGAUGUUUGUGUAUCUAUAUUUUUUCUUGACUGUA